CCAGAAAAUAGUUUAAAAAAUAUUAAUUUUGGAAAUUAAAGUUAAGCUUUUGCUUUUUUCUG
rnacentral:tRNA from 1 species